GACGAACGCUGGCGGCGUGCCUAAUACAUGCAAGUCGAGCGAAGUUUUUCUGGUGCUUGCACUAGAAAAACUUAGCGGCGAACGGGUGAGUAACACGUAAAGAACCUGCCUCAUAGACUGGGACAACUAUUGGAAACGAUAGCUAAUACCGGAUAACAGCAUUAACUGCAUGGUUGAUGUUUAAAAGUUGGUUUUGCUAACACUAUGAGAUGGCUUUGCGGUGCAUUAGCUAGUUGGUGGGGUAAAGGCCUACCAAGGCGACGAUGCAUAGCCGACCUGAGAGGGUGAUCGGCCACACUGGGACUGAGACACGGCCCAGACUCCUACGGGAGGCAGCAGUAGGGAAUCUUCCGCAAUGGGCGAAAGCCUGACGGAGCAACGCCGCGUGAGUGAAGAAGGAUUUCGGUUCGUAAAGCUCUGUUGUUAGGGAAGAAUGAUUGUGUAGUAACUAUACACAGUAGAGACGGUACCUAACCAGAAAGCCACGGCUAACUACGUGCCAGCAGCCGCGGUAAUACGUAGGUGGCAAGCGUUGUCCGGAAUUAUUGGGCGUAAAGCGCGCGCAGGUGGUUUAAUAAGUCUGAUGUGAAAGCCCACGGCUCAACCGUGGAGGGUCAUUGGAAACUGUUAAACUUGAGUGCAGGAGAGAAAAGUGGAAUUCCUAGUGUAGCGGUGAAAUGCGUAGAGAUUAGGAGGAAUACCAGUGGCGAAGGCGGCUUUUUGGCCUGUAACUGACACUGAGGCGCGAAAGCGUGGGGAGCAAACAGG
rnacentral:rRNA from 1 species